CCACGUUAAUGGUAACGACGGGUAAAAUACCGUUAAUGGUAAACAAAAAAAAACUAACCCGGUAAAUAUUAGGAAUUUAAUUAAAUAAACCUAAUAUUAAUUGGAAAGAGGACGAAUACUUUGAGAAAACGAAGUAUAUAAAAAUAUCCGAGUUAACGGGACUUAAAAAUAAAACGGGUUAUGACUUCCCCGAACCCACAAAGUAACUAGGAAUAUCAAUCUAGUUAAAUAUGUGUCUUAAAAACAAUAAAGAAAACUUAGUUAAUAAUCCUUUUGUUAACUCUAGAAACUUGAGGGACUAAAAGGGGUAAAAGAGAAAAUAGUUUUUAUUAAUUAAAACCAAAAACCCAAAACACAGUGUUUUGGUCGCAGACAACACAAGGGGCGAACAGGGGCUCUUUGCUCAAACCCUAUCUAGCCAAAAAUCAAGAAAUUGGAAGGACAAAUCAGUCCCAAAUCGAAAACCAAGCUAAGAUUAGUGAUCACUCGGGGUUAGAGAAUCACAAGAUUAACACUUCACAAGCUAGGUGGAGGCUUGGGAAAGAAGCGGGUCAAACGAAUCGAGUACGCGGAAAUAGAGCAAGGCUAGGAAAACGAAGACUCUCGCAUUUGAAGAUGACGAGGGUCGAACAAAUUACGGAUAUGAUAGAGGAACAGUCCGAGGUAUGACAAGCAGAGCAUAUUCAUCAAGGACUUAAAUCGCGUAGCGUUCGCGGACAUGGUUAACGGAAAGAGAAGCCCGUUAGGGCAAGCAUUACCAGACAACACAAGGGGCGAACAGGGGCUCUUUGCUCAAACCCUAUCUAGCCAAAAAUCAAGAAAUUGGAAGGACAAAUCAGUCCCAAAUCGAAAACCAAGCUAAGAUUAGUGAUCACUCGGGUUAGAGAAUCACAAGAUUAACACUUCACAAGCUAGGUGGAGGCUUGGGAAAGAAGCGGGUCAAACGAAUCGAGUACGCGGAAAAAGAGCAAGGCUAGGAAAACGAAGUGAAUGUCGUUACCAUCCGGAUGCCGAUCAAGCAACGAAGUGGACCGAACACAUCCUUAAUGAAGCUUCCGCGAUAUCUUUCUUUUGUUUAGUUUAAAAAUGAAAGUUGUAAACAUUUGAUACUAUAUUUUGAAUACUCUAAUUUUGUAUGAACGUUAACUUGUCAAAGUUUUUGAUAGGUCGCAUUUUUACAUAAAAUGCGUAUUUAAUAUUA